rnacentral:rRNA from 1 species
GUGCCAGCAGCCGCGGUAAUACAGAGGGUGCGAGCGUUAAUCGGAUUUACUGGGCGUAAAGCGUGCGUAGGCGGCUUUUUAAGUCGGAUGUGAAAUCCCCGAGCUUAACUUGGGAAUUGCAUUCGAUACUGGGAAGCUAGAGUAUGGGAGAGGAUGGUAGAAUUCCAGGUGUAGCGGUGAAAUGCGUAGAGAUCUGGAGGAAUACCGAUGGCGAAGGCAGCCAUCUGGCCUAAUACUGACGCUGAGGUACGAAAGCAUGGGGAGCAAACAGGAUUAGAUACCCUGGUAGUCCAUGCCGUAAACGAUGUCUACUAGCCGUUGGGGCCUUUGAGGCUUUAGUGGCGCAGCUAACGCGAUGAGUAGACCGCCUGGGGAGUACGGUCGCAAGACUAAAACUCAAAUGAAUUGACGGGGGCCCGCACAAGCGGUGGAGCAUGUGGUUUAAUUCGAUGCAACGCGAAGAACCUUACCUGGCCUUGACAUACUAGAAACUUUCCAGAGAUGGAUUGGUGCCUUCGGGAAUCUAGAUACAGGUGCUGCAUGGCUGUCGUCAGCUCGUGUCGUGAGAUGUUGGGUUAAGUCCCGCAACGAGCGCAACCCUUUUCCUUACUUGCCAGCAUUUCGGAUGGGAACUUUAAGGAUACUGCCAGUGACAAACUGGAGGAAGGCGGGGACGACGUCAAGUCAUCAUGGCCCUUACGGCCAGGGCUACACACGUGCUACAAUGGUCGGUACAAAGGGUUGCUACACAGCGAUGUGAUGCUAAUCCUCAAAAAGCCGAUCGUAGUCG